AGCUCCAAUAGCGUAUAUUUAAGUUGUUGCAGUUAAAAAGCUCGUAGUUGGAUUUCGGAGUCGGGCGACCGGUCCGCCGUUUCGGUGUGCACUGGUCCGACCCGUCUUUUUCUGUCGGGGACGCGCGCUCCUUCAUUGGGGACGCGGAGUCGGCGCUGUUACUUUGAAAAAAUUAGAGUGUUCAAGGCAGGCUUACGCUCUGAAUACUAUAGCAUGGAAUAACGCGAUAGGACUCCGGGCCUAUUUCGUUGGUCUUCGGGACCGGAGUAAUGAUUAAGAGGGACAGUUGGGGGCAUUUGUAUUCCGGUGUCAGAGGUGAAAUUCUUGGAUUUCCGGAAGACAAACUUCUGCGAAAGCAUUUGCCAAGGAUGUUUUCAUUAAUCAAGAACGAAAGUACGCA
rnacentral:rRNA from 1 species